AGAGUUUGAUCAUGGCUCAGAACGUACGCUGGCGGCACGCCUAACACAUGCAAGUCGAACGAAGUAGCAAUACUUAGUGGCAGACGGGUGAGUAACAUGUAGGUAUCUGCCCUUUGGCCUGGAAUAACACGAGGAAACUUGUGCUAAUACCGGAUAAGUCUUUACGGAGAAAGCUUUAUGCACCAUUGGAUGAGCCUGCACUUGAUUAGUUUGUUGGUGGGGUAAUGGCCUACCAAGACUUUGAUCAAUAGCUGAUUUGAGAGGAUGAUCAGCCACAUUGGGACUGAGACACGGCCCAAACUCCUACGGGAGGCAGCAGUGGGGAAUCUUGCACAAUGGAGGAAACUCUGAUGCAGCGAUGCCGCGUGAGUGAAGAAGGCCCUUGGGUUGUAAAGCUCUUUCGUCGGGGAAGAAAAUGACUGUACCCGAAUAAGAAGGUCCGGCUAACUUCGUGCCAGCAGCCGCGGUAAUACGAAGGGACCUAGCGUAGUUCGGAAUUACUGGGCUUAAAGAGUUCGUAGGUGGUUGAAAAAGUUGGUGGUGAAAUCCCAGAGCUUAACUCUGGAACUGCCAUCAAAACUUUUCAGCUAGAGUAUGAUAGAGGAAAGCAGAAUUUCUAGUGUAGAGGUGAAAUUCGUAGAUAUUAGAAAGAAUACCAAUUGCGAAGGCAGCUUUCUGGAUCAUUACUGACACUGAGGAACGAAAGCAUGGGUAGCGAAGAGGAUUAGAUACCCUCGUAGUCCAUGCCGUAAACGAUGUGUGUUAGACGUUGGAAAUUUAUUUUCAGUGUCGCAGCGAAAGCGAUAAACACACCGCCUGGGGAGUACGACCGCAAGGUUAAAACUCAAAUGAAUUGACGGGGACCCGCACAAGUAGUGGAGCAUGUGGUUUAAUUCGAAGAUACGCGCAGAACCUUACCAACACUUGACAUGUUCGUCGCGACUCUAAGAGAUUAGAGUUUUCGGUUCGGCCGGACGAAACACAGGUGCUGCAUGGCUGUCGUCAGCUCGUGUCGUGAGAUGUUGGGUUAAGUCCCGCAACGAGCGCAACCCUCACUUUUAGUUGCCAUCAUUAAGUUGGGCACUCUGAAAGAACUGCCAGUGAUAAGCUGGAGGAAGGUGGGGAUGACGUCAAGUCCUCAUGGCCCUUACGUGUUGGGCUACACACGUGCUACAAUGGUAUCUACAACAGGAAGCAAGACGGCGACGUCAAGCAAAUCCUUAAAAGAUACCUCAGUUCGGAUUGCACUCUGCAACUCGAGUGCAUGAAGCUGGAAUUACUAGUAAUCGUGGAUCAGCGUGCCACGGUGAAUGCGUUCCCGGGUCUUGUACACACCGCCCGUCACACCAUGGGAGUUGGUUCUACCUUAAGGCAAGGUUUUAAACCCUUGACCACGGUAUAGUCAGCGACUGGGGUGAAGUCGUAACAAGGUA
rnacentral:rRNA from 1 species